UACGUAGGGUGCAAGCGUUGUCCGGAAUUAUUGGGCGUAAAGAGCUCGUAGGCGGUCUGUCGCGUCGGCUGUGAAAACCCGGAGCUCAACUCCGGGCCUGCAGUCGAUACGGGCAAACUGGAGUGUUGCAGGGGAGACUGGAAUUCCUGGUGUAGCGGUGAAAUGCGCAGAUAUCAGGAGGAACACCGGUGGCGAAGGCGGGUCUCUGGGCAUUACCUGGCGCUGAGGAGCGAAAGUGUGGGGAGCGAACAGG
rnacentral:rRNA from 1 species